AUCAAGGUCAGCUAAUUUAAGCUCCUGGGCCCAUACCCCAAGCAUGAUGGUUAAAGUCCAUCCUUUGAUA
rnacentral:tRNA from 1 species